AGUGUUACGCCGGGUGAACGGGCUACAUUGAUGUUGUAGAUAAUAAGAGUAAUUCUUUAACACUU
rnacentral:tRNA from 1 species